rnacentral:sRNA from 1 species
AAAAAGUUAAAAAGGAAAAAAAAAAUGUAAAAACAGAAAGAAUAGCGUAGAGCUUUACUGUAUAUAAUUUUCGGCUAUAGUUGUGCAAAAUUUAAAGUGAAAUUAGUUGUUAAGUAAAAGUAUCAAAGUAAAUCAGAAAGUGAAAGUUGUAUAAAGUAAAGUAAAGUAAAGUCGUUCAGAUUGCUUCGGAAUAUUAUUGGUCGCGUAUUUGAAAAUUAAAACACCAGAAAACAGAACUAAAAGUAAAAAGAACGUGGAAUCGAAAAUACAAAAAAAAAAGGUGAAUGUCAAUCAAUGUGAAGGAUGAAAAAAAAGUAAAAAUAAAAACGAUUGAAAAGUGCAAAAAAGUGAACCGGAAUUUGGGUAAAAAGCCUGGACUAUACAAAAAUCUAAAAUCAAAUAUAAAUAAAAAGAAAAAAAAUUAAGAAAUGAAUGAUAUAUAUAUCAAUUGAAAGUCAAAGAAAAAUUUAAGUGACUAAAUACAAAUAAGUGCAAAUUCGAAGUGGAAUUAUUUGGACAUGAAUGCAAAAUUUCAAGUUAAAGAUUUAAUAAUUUAAUUAUCAAAAAAAAAAAAAAAAAAAAAAAAAAAAAACGUAAUGAAAGUAGUGAAUUUAUAACAUCAGAUCUUUGGAUUUUGCGAAUUUGUCGGUAAAUUAGUAAAGAUAAAAGAAAUCAAUAUAAAAAAUGGAAAAAUACUAAGCGAAAUAAAAAUAGCUCUACGCCUGAGUCAACUCCAUGCUCAACUAUUCUAGAAUAUUAUCACGGAUUUACUAAACGUUUAGAAAGAAGCAGUUGUCAAAUUUAAUGUUGUAAUUGAAAAUCGUCUACAAUCAAUAAUUUUUCGAAUCAGAAGUCAAAAUUUUCUGUGAUUGAAUAAAAACCACAGAUCUAUCUCUACAUUGAGAGAGUAGUGUGCUUGACUCUCAAAAUGCUGCAGUUGUUGCAAUCUGAGCUCGACCGACCUGUUACGAUAUGCUAAGCUGGAGCUGUGAUGUGCUGCAGCCUGUCGUGCAUCCAAUCGGAGAGAUUUGGCUUCAAUUUGAGGGUCCCUCAACUUACUUUAUCAGCGAUUAGCUAUACCAGCAUCUCGGGUAUUGCUGUAGCCCAGUAUCUUGCACGGUGUGCAAGAGCCUCGGAAGUUACGGCUUGUCAAUCUCAUUGCUCAAUUGUUAUCUUCCGCUGACCGAAGUUGCGGAUAACUCAGACUAUCUAAGCCUUAUAUACAUAUCUGGUUACGAUCUCCAACACUGUGCUGCACACCUUGGCGAAGCGCAUGGCCAGUCGUUACAUUUAUAUCCUUGUCAUAUGCAUGUGCGGCAGAUGUAGCGUUUUGAGAGUUAACCAUCCCAUUCUCUCAAUGUAGAGAUGGUUCUGUGGAAUAUAUUCUGAGACAUCCUGCUGCAGCCUGUUGGGCAUACUGAUCGCUAGAUUUAGCUUUAAUUUGAUGGCUCAACAGCAUUAUUUCAUUUUGUUAGCGAGUGGCUAUAGAAGAUAUAUAUGUAUACAUAUAUAUUUGGAUUUGCUCGCCUUCAGCAUUUCGGACGAUGCUGUAGUCCAGUAUCUUGCACGGUGUGCAAGAGCCUCGGAAGCUACGGCUUGUCAACCUCAUCAAUGGAGAACUUGAGGACAUGCUGCUGCUAUAGCCACUCGCUGACCGGAGUUACAAGCGCUGAUGAGUCUGAAAUUUGGAAGCAUUAUAUAGCGAACCCGAAUUCCAUUUUGUAUGCCGGGCUGGAGUAGAACACUCAGCGUUCAAAUAUGUGGAUAAUGUAGAACUUUUGUGGCUUAAACACUAAACGAUUGUCUCUAAUGUUAUUCAUUGGAACAAAACAACGCAGCAGAACACUUAUUGACACUGGAUUCUCCUUGAGGUUGUGCCUACUAUAUAAUACUCGAAAUUUUAAUGUAUGCCUACAAUUUGGAUCUUUACUGCUCAGUGGCUUGGGCAUCUGAAUUCCGGUAGCGAUUAAUUUGUAAAUGCAAUAGUACUUCUAAUAAACUUUAUUGUAAGACUGAA